rnacentral:rRNA from 1 species
AACGAACGCUGGCGGCAGGCCUAACACAUGCAAGUCGAGCGAAGCCUUCGGGCUUAGCGGCGGACGGGUGAGUAACGCGUGGGAACCUGCCCAAGGGUUCGGGAUAACCGUGGGAAACCAUGGCUAAGACCGGAUACGGCCGAGAGGCGAAAGAUUCAUCGCCCUUGGAGGGGCCCGCGUCGGAUUAGCUAGACGGUGGGGUAACGGCCUACCGUGGCUUCGAUCCGUAGCUGGUCUGAGAGGAUGACCAGUCACACUGGGACUGAGACACGGCCCAGACUCCUACGGGAGGCAGCAGUGGGGAAUCUUGGACAAUGGGGGCAACCCUGAUCCAGCGACGCCGCGUGGGUGACGAAGGCCUUCGGGUCGUAAAGCCCUUUUGCCGGGGACGAUGAUGACGGUACCCGGAGAAUAAGCACCGGCUAACUCCGUGCCAGCAGCCGCCGUAAAAC